GAUGAACGCUGGCGGCGUGCUUAACACAUGCAAGUCGAACGGAAAGGCCCAAGCUUGCUUGGGUACUCGAGUGGCGAACGGGUGAGUAACACGUGGGUGAUCUGCCCUGCACUUCGGGAUAAGCCUGGGAAACUGGGUCUAAUACCGGAUAGGACCACAUUUUGGAUGGUGUGGUGGAAAGUUUUUCGGUGUGGGAUGAGCUCGCGGCCUAUCAGCUUGUUGGUGGGGUAAUGGCCUACCAAGGCGUCGACGGGUAGCCGGCCUGAGAGGGUGUACGGCCACAUUGGGACUGAGAUACGGCCCAGACUCCUACGGGAGGCAGCAGGGGGGAAUAUUGCACAAUGGGCGCAAGCCUGAUGCAGCGACGCCGCGUGGGGGAUGACGGCCUUCGGGUUGGAAACUCCUUUCGCUAGGGACGAAGCGUUAUGUGACGGUACCUGGAGAAGAAGCACCGGCUAACUACGUG
rnacentral:rRNA from 1 species